rnacentral:rRNA from 1 species
ACGAACGCUGGCGGCGUGCCUAAUCCAUGCAAGUAGAACACACAGUUUAUACCGUAGCUUGCUACACCAUAGACUGUGAGUUGCGAACGGGUGAGUAACGCGUAGGUAACCUGCCUGGUAGCGGGGGAUAACUAUUGGAAACGAUAGCUAAUACCGCAUAAUAUUAAUUAUUGCAUGAUAAUUAAUUGAAAGGUGCAAUUGCACCACUACCAGAUGGACCUGCGUUGUAUUAGCUAGUAGGUGAGGUAACGGCUCACCUAGGCGACGAUACAUAGCCGACCUGAGAGGGUGAUCGGCCACACUGGGACUGAGACACGGCCCAGACUCCUACGGGAGGCAGCAGUAGGGAAUCUUCGGCAAUGGACGAAAGUCUGACCGAGCAACGCCGCGUGAGUGAAGAAGGUUUUCGGAUCGUAAAGCUCGGUUGUAAGAGAAGAACGGGUGUGAGAGUGGAAAGUUCACACUGUGACGGUAUCUUACCAGAAAGGGACGGCUAACUACGUG